rnacentral:rRNA from 1 species
GACGUAGGGGGCCAGCGUUGUUCGGAAUUACUGGGUGUAAAGGGUUCGUAGGCGGUGCGGCAAGUUGGGAGUGAAAUCUCUGGGCUUAACCCAGAGGCUGCUUCCAAAACUGCUGUGCUUGAGUGUGGGAGAGGCGCGUGGAAUUGCAGGUGUAGCGGUGAAAUGCGUAGAUAUCGGGAGGAACACCUGUGGCGAAAGCGGCGCACUGGACCACAACUGACGCUGAGGCGCGAAAGCUAGGGGAGCAAACAGG